UUAGGACAACGACAAAUCACC
rnacentral:miRNA from 1 species